GAUGAACGCUGGCGGCGUGCCUAAUACAUGCAAGUCGAGCGAACGGACGAGAAGCUUGCUUCUCUGAUGUUAGCGGCGGACGGGUGAGUAACACGUGGAUAACCUACCUAUAAGACUGGGAUAACUUCGGGAAACCGUAGCUAAUACCGGAUAAUAUUUUGAACCGCAUGGUUCAAAAGUGAAAGACGGUCUUGCUGUCACUUAUAGAUGGAUCCGCGCUGCAUUAGCUAGUUGGUAAGGUAACGGCUUACCAAGGCAACGAUGCAUAGCCGACCUGAGAGGGUGAUCGGCCACACUGGAACUGAGACACGGUCCAGAAUCCUAAGGGAGGCAGCAGUAGGGAAUCUUCCGCAAUGGGCGAAAGCCUGACGGAGCAACGCCGCGUGAGUGAUGAAGGUCUUCGGAUCGUAAAACUCUGUUAUUAGGGAAGAACAUAUGUGUAAGUAACUGUGCACAUCUUGACGGGACCUAAUCAGAAAGCCACGGCUAACUACGU
rnacentral:rRNA from 1 species